UCCCUGGCGGUCCAGCAAUUAGGACUCUGCACUUAAACUGCUGAGGGCCUGAGUUCAAUCCCUGGUUGGGGAA
rnacentral:tRNA from 1 species